UACGUAGGGUGCGAGCGUUGUCCGGAAUUAUUGGGCGUAAAGGGCUCGUAGGCGGUUUGUCGCGUCGGGAGGUGAAAUCCACUGGCUUAACUGGUGGCUUGCUUUCGAUACGGGCAGACUUGGAGUACGUGCAGGGGAGACUGGAAUUCCUGGUGUAGCGGUGGAAUGCGCAGAGUAUCAGGAGGAACACCGGUGGGCGAAGGCGGGUCUCUGGGCAGUAACUGACGCUGGAGGAGCGAAAGCGUUGGGGAGCGAAACAGGAUUAGACUACC
rnacentral:rRNA from 1 species